rnacentral:lncRNA from 1 species
AUCGAAAGCUGUUGUCUGAUUCGACUUCUUUACAGUUGAUUAGAAGCGUGUUGAGACUUGAGAGAAAGAGACGCCAUUGUUCUGAUUGUUGGAGUUUUGAAGUUAGGUGGGUUCCUUGGCAGAGAUGUCUUUCUAUUUAUGCUCUGAAGAGUUGUCUAUGACGAAUCUUGAAGCUUUAAGAUUUGGGUACCAUUCUGUCAACCACGCUGUCCACCACGCUGUCUUCACAUGAAGCUGAGUAACAUUGAACAUUACAAUGUUUUUACUGGCCCCCUUUUAAAAUAUGGAACUUUAGCCAUCCUAUUGUGUGGGCUGCAUGGAACUCAUUUACCUUUGCUGUGAACGUCGGUAUAAGACGCACAACAUUUAGAAUGAUGGAGUACCAAUGUUGAAGCAAGAACAGGAAACAGAAUCUGGAAUAAUUGGGUUAAGACCACCAUCUUCACUCACAAAUACUGAUUCAUUGUAAGAUCUAUGGCGAAGGAACUGACAGCCCGGAAGAAAUUGACGGUGGUGGAUUGGUGUGAAGAAACUAUUGCCGUGGAGUACCCUAAGAUAUGGUACUACUCGAGCAGCCCCUUCAAUUCGAACAGUUGAUUAGAGUUCUAGUUACGACGAAAUCUGAAAAGGCCUUUUAUCAAGAGCAACCAAUUGAGUCAGGUGGCUCCCACAACAUAGUUGAAAAAUGAACAUGAAGGCAACAGCCAAUCCUAUCUGGAAUUUUGCUAGAGAUACCUUUCAGACGGUCGUCAACGUUGAGGAAAAAGAAGAAUCUUAACCCAAAUUAGAGCCAGAAGAACCAUAUACUGCUGGUAUACCAACAGCCAACGGAACUUACUCCACACGCUCCAAGACUAGCAUUAUUGUGGCUUUCCAUUGUUGACUUACGAAUAAUGGUUCUGGCGGAGCCAUCAAGGAAGAAAGCAGUGGUACUUCCACCAAAUCAAAAUGUUCUUUCAAACCGACGUCAGGUAAUAGCAUCAGUCUUGCAGGGGACACUGACUGUAAUCAAUUGAUUGAUCCGGCAAAUGGCGGUUCUUUGCAUUAUUUCCAUCCGACUACGUGUCCAGUCGUUUCAACUGAAGAAUUUUUGCAGCGGAUGGUGGAAUAUAUGCGUAGAAUCUGGUUACAAAGUAUGAGGUCUGGAAGAAGAAAAGGUCGAAACAGAACCCACUGAAGAAGAAGAAAUGAACUGAGCUUUUCUCGGUUGGCCUGUGACGUUUCCCCUGACAAAACUUCUUUGAUUCUUCUCUAUGCCCACCUCUGCUUGGAUCUUGACGUCCAGCUAGAAGAUGCCGUUCGACUCCUUCAGCAAGUUGAAACGCUGCACGAUCAUCGACUAAUGGAAAAAUGCAUUCAGAAAUUAAACCAGAAAAAGUCUCUAGUCACAAAAAAAGUUAUUCACCUUCGAUCAUCAUCCGUUAAAUACGCGGUGGGACUUGUUAUGAUAUACCAACAUAGCGCUUGUAAGUCACCGUUACUGUGUGUAACCGACUCAUUGACACACCAUGAUCCAGACAAAAUAUUUUGUAACGUCCUUUUCGACGAUGGGGGAUUCUUCCUUCGUUGAUGAAGACAAGCAUAAUUUAAAAUUCGACACUGAUGUGUCGUUCGUCAGCAGCUAUCCGAAUAUCGGGCUUUCUUUUGAACGUUUCAACGGCCGCCGAUACAUCUCCAACGCUAAGAUGACCCUCUUCCCAGAGGAUGAAGGCUUUGCUCUUUCCCUGGUCGGAUAAAUAUGUAUUAUCUUAUCGUAUUAUGUAAUUGCCUGCCUUUUACGUACAUUAGCUGCUAAAUAGUGCCAAAUAGUUUCAUCAAAUUUUACGAGAAAUCAAAAAAUUAUUUAGGCCAUUCAGGUUGUUUUUCUUAAUUCAACCAAUGUACAACUUGUAUGUAAAUCAGGUUCUUGUUUCACUUUUUCAUUCAUCAUUUUGUAGCUUAAAUCCUGUGUUAUUUUGCAAACAAUUUUAACUUUCAAUUCACUUAGAAAUUCCAGACAGAACUCCCUCUAACCUCUGGGUAUCAAUCUGGGUCACCUCUAACCCCAAUUAAGAAGUAAAGGCUAGACUAUGAGAUAUUAUCAGUCCCCUGUGUUAGUUAGGUAGGUAAGGAAGGAAUCCAACAUAGAAGACUUUAAAACAUGAAGAAAAAUCUAAAAGA